UGACACAGGGAGGUAGUGACAAGAAAUAACAAUACGGGGCUUAAAGUCUUGUAAUUGGAAUGAUGGGAAUUUAAACCUCUUCCAGAGUAUCAAUUGGAGGGCAAGUCUGGUGCCAGCAGCCGCGGUAAUUCCAGCUCCAAUAGCGUAUAUUAAAAUUGUUGCAGUUAAAAAGCUCGUAGUUGAAUUUCUGCUGCAUUGCUUGUGUCCCUCUGGGGUCUGUGCAUGUGGCUUUUUUCGGACGGAGUUUCUUUGUCUGAAUGUUUACUUUGAGAAAAUUAGAGUGCUCAAAGCAGGCUUUCGCCUUGAAUAGUUUAGCAUGGAAUAAUAAAGUAGGACUUUGGUUCUAUUUUGUUGGUUUUAGGUACCAAAGUAAUGGUUAAUAGGAACAGUUGGGGGCAUUCGUAUUUAACUGUCAGAGGUGAAAUUCUUAG
rnacentral:rRNA from 1 species